AAACUUCAGUCAUACCAUCAGGAUUGACUAAUUUUGAUCUCCACUUUUAGUUUAUGGAAUUACCAGGAUAUCCUAGUGGUGCAGAAGUUGAAGUUGUAUAGCACAACAGAAUUGUUACCAAGAAUAUUUAAUGGACCAUACCCCUGAGCGAUAACUGUCGUUCCAUUUAAAAUUUGAAAGAGUGGAAGACCUGCAGCAGCUGUGUUGUUAACAAUGAAACUAACAUUAGCUGACUGAACACCUGCAUUGACAUUGGUGGUACCUAGUACGGUGCCAUUAACGCUAACGCGCAAAGUAUACGAUGACUUUGCAAAGGAUAUAACACUAAUAACGUCAGAACUGUUCUGGUAGUUAUCAGGUCGAGGAAUUGAGUCUGACGAUGCUGUCGCAUUUUUUGAAUGCACCCGGUAUGUAACGUAUAAUUGCGAUAUUCCGCUGAAGUUAGAUGGAAGACCUGUAGUAUUUUGUUUAUACAUUUGAAUGAAAAGGGGAAGUGAAUAAGAUAAAGGUGCAUGCGUAAACGAAUCAACCCACUCAUGAGAGUUUGAUCCUAUGACCGGAAAGUCAGCAGCAUAAUUAGUGGGACCAAUAUAUGUGCUUUCUCCAUAGUCAUUCCAAGUUAAAACUUGAACAUAGUUUGGUUGGUCUUUAAUAAGUUGCAUCCACCUGGUAAACCAUAAACCUUCUGAAAAGAAAGAAUAAUUUUUGGAAGUAAAGUGUGUAUAAAAUAUUGGACUGACAGUAGCCAUAUAUUUUUUGUUUGUGGCUUUACUAUUUUGUAUGUAAACUAAGUCUUCAGCAUCGCUAGUAGGGGAACUUGUGUAAUAAGGCCAGCAAUUCCAUUUGCAGAAUCCAUCGGCAACUGGAUAUGUCUGAUAAAUAGUACUAGCAUCGAGAGGCCAAGUGGGCAUGAAAAAAAUAUUGAUACCAGCAGAAGCCAACGCGUUUUUGAAUGCUACCUGCCAACCUUGGUUUACUGAAGACUGACCAAAAUUAAUAUCCUGCCCAAGAAAUGUGCCCACGACUACAUUGUUAUUAAUCCGAGCCUGAUGGCCACGAUUAGCAAAAGUUUGAACAUAGGUCACAAGAGUGCUAGCGGGAACCGUUGACAUUUCAGACAUAUCUAGAUUGAGGUAAAGCAAAAACUGAAGAUUUAAUGCAUCAGCAGCAUUGUACAUCAAAGUCAGUUUGCUCAUCAUCCAACUGUCAUUCCCAAAGUUGAGCACAAACCCAUCCAACCCCAAAGAAAUUGCAUUUUGUAUGUCAUUUUGGAAAUCACUCUGAGCAUAAUUGUACGUAAGACCCAUCAUAAAAUGGGCUACAACGGCUUUAUUCGGUAAAGCUGUUGUUAACGACGCCAUUAAGUGAUAUUUAAGUUGGUUAGUGGAAAUGCAAGCUGUCCGCUUUCAAAGGUCUAGCCGAUGACUGCCGCUAUACAAAAAAAAAUUAAGUUAUGCAGGUAGAUUUGAUAACUUGUCCCUUUAGACUCUUUAGUCUAAUGUCGACAAAGGUUGGUGUAAAUGCCAAAGAGUUAUAGAUGCCUUUAUAUACUGACUAUUAAAAUGUAAACAAAUGCAAGUUUGCUUAUGGAAUGACUGGACAUAACAAUACUGACAAAUGAAUUAGCGAUACACGUAAUUAUAUAUAUCUAUAAAUAUAUAUAUACACUAUAUUUCAAAUGAAUAACUAGUUAUUUAUCUGAUUGUGAUAGACUUUAAAUUUGACUUUCCAAUCAUAUACAAUGGUGGUUCAGAUGGCGGUGCUCAACAAUUGUCUAGAGCUAUUGGAGUU